CUAAUCCAAGUAGUAACCUUUUCUAAGUGACCGACUUAAACGACUAAGAUGACCACUCAGUCAGUCGAUGGAUGACGUGUGUGCGCGCGCGCGCUCUUGCUUACUGGUGGAGCGCAUCCUCGUUACCGCACGCGCAGCGCUCCUAUAUAAACCCAGCAGUUAAAUCAUCAGCCUCACGAGACACGACUCACAGCUUCACAGUGGGAAAAGUCUACAUCAAGGAGCAGAAGAAGGAGGAGAAGAAAACCAGAACAUCAGCUAAGUAUGCGUCCUCGUGCAAGCGUGUGUGUCGGCUGGCUCGCGUGCGUCCUGCUGGUUGUGUGUUUGAGCUCCAUGGCGGAAGGAUAUCCAACCAAGCCGGAGAACCCGGGAGAGGACGCACCUGUUGAGGAACUCGCCAAGUAUUACUCCGCGCUGAGACACUACAUCAACCUGAUCACGAGGCAGAGGUAUGGCAAAAGGUCAAACAGUGAUGCACUGACCCCAGACCUGCUGCUUGGAGAGUCAGAGAUGCGACUCCAGUCCAGGUAAAAUGUAUAGACACCUACUCCAGACCUGGUGACAUGCUUCUUAUGGAUUCACAAAUAAUAUACGAUGACCCCUCCUCGAUGUGGUGAUGUCAGUGUAUUCAUGUUCGCUCGCCAUUUCCUUCCCUGUUAGAGCCGAUAACCUCAUCAGAAACGUCCACCACUUUUGUGGUCCAUCUCUAGCAGGCAUCAGACUACACUGAUAGUAAUAGUGAGACAGGGAAUUGCUGUAAAUUGCAUUGUUUUCAUCUGCUGAAGGUAGAUAAUAAAGCACCACUGAUUUGCAUGUAAUCCCCAGCAUCCUCGAUGUGUAUAUAGACUUCCAGUGUUUAUGUAUGUCCUACGCACUAAAGCUGCUCCAAUAAAGACAAAAUAAUACUGACCGGCGUGGAAUAAUUGCUAUUAAACCAUUACAUUCGGAGGAGUCUGUUUUCUUCUAGGUUUCAUACACACUGAAUUACUGCAUAUAAGCGAAUAAGCUCACAUAAACACUCGGACUUUAUAUUGCUGGUUCCAUAGUUUCUCCCUCUGACCAGGUUAGCAGUCUGCCUUACUGCCUUUUAUCUGCCUUAC